CUACGGGCGGCAGCAGUGGGGAAUAUUGCACAAUGGAGGAAACUCUGAUGCAGCAAUGCCGCGUGGAGGAUGACGCAUUUCGGUGUGUAAACUCCUUUUAUAUGUCAAGAAAAUGACGGUAGCAUAUGAAUAAGCACCGGCUAACUCCGUGCCAGCAGCCGCGGUAAUACGGAGGGUGCAAGCGUUACUCGGAAUCACUGGGCGUAAAGGACGCGUAGGCGGGUUGGAAAGUCAGGUGUGAAAUCCUACAGCUUAACUGUAGAACUGCACUUGAAACUUCUAAUCUAGAGUAUGGGAGGGGGAGAUGGAAUUAGUGGUGUAGGGGUAAAAUCCGUAGAUAUCACUAGGAAUACCUAAAGCGAAGGCGAUCUCCUGGAACAUUACUGACGCUAAGGCGUGAAAGCGUGGGGAGCAAACAGGAUUAGAUACCCGGGUAGUC
rnacentral:rRNA from 1 species